rnacentral:tRNA from 1 species
GGUGUUGUAGCUCAGUGGUAGAGCACUUGUCCAGCAGGUGUGAAGUACUGGGUUUGACCCUCAGCACCA